rnacentral:rRNA from 1 species
GACGAACGCUGGCGGCGUGCUUAACACAUGCAAGUCGAACGGAAAGGCCCUGCUUUUGUGGGGUGCUCGAGUGGCGAACGGGUGAGUAACACGUGAGUAACCUGCCCUUGACUUUGGGAUAACUUCAGGAAACUGGGGCUAAUACCGGAUAGGAGCUCCUGCUGCAUGGUGGGGGUUGGAAGUUUCGGCGGUUGGGGAUGGACUCGCGGCUUAUCAGCUUGUUGGUGGGGUAGUGGCUUACCAAGGCUUUGACGGGUAGCCGGCCUGAGAGGGUGACCGGCCACAUUGGGACUGAGAUACGACCCAGACUCCUACGGGAGGCAGCAGUGGGGAAUAUUGCACAAUGGGCGGAAGCCUGAUGCAGCAACGCCGCGUGCGGGAUGACGGCCUUCGGGUUGUAAACCGCUUUCGCCUGUGACGAAGCGUGAGUGACGGUAAUGGGUAAAGAAGCACCGGCUAACUACGUG